rnacentral:rRNA from 1 species
CAGUCGCCGCGGUAAUACGAAGGUCCCGAGCGUUGUUCGGAAUCACUGGGCGUAAAGGGAGCGUAGGCGGCGUGGUAAGUCAGAUGUGAAAUCCCGGGGCUCAACCCCGGAACUGUAUCCGAUACUGCCAUGCUAGAGGAUUGGAGAGGUAGCUGGAAUUCUUGGUGUAGCAGUGAAAUGCGUGGAGAUCAAGAGGAACACUCGUGGCGAAAGCGAGCUACUGGACAAUAACUGACGCUGAGGCUCGAAGGCCAGGGUAGCGAAAGGGAUUAGAUACCCCGGUAGUCCCUGUCUCUUAUAA